CUCAAACCUUCAGGUAGCCUAAUUCAUUUGCGCAGUUUGUUCUGUAGGCUACAACUCUCUGUAGUUGGUCCCAUGGGAUUUCGGUGGUUAGCCUAUGUGAAAGAGGGACGAUUUAACAAACCCGUGACAAAUCGGCACAUCUCCUUGAGUAGUUGCAAAUCCGUUUAUUUUGCUCCCUCCCUUCAAGAGAGGGAAACAAGAGUCGAGGUGGGACGCGGCGGAGCCAAGACCAGCUAAACUCUCAACUCUCACUUCGCCGUGUUCUUCUCAGUCGCACUUUGACGUACGCCUGACAACACUAAGUCUUUUUCAUGUACGGAAAUUAAGUGAUGGCAGAUUUUUCACCGUGUAGAGCAUCUGUCAUCUUGGUGCUCCUGCAGAUAUUCGGAUAUACUUGUUCACUGAGGCGGACUGCAGACAGUGGUUUGGAGACUCUCAGUCCUCCUCUGGAUGUGGAGCUGGAAACACUGAACUGCACAGCAGUUGCUGUCAGGUGGAGGGUGCCACGGCGACACGUCACCGCUGUCAUGGGUUACCGGGUGUUCUUAACAGAGGUGAAUAACAGUCCAGUAGGAACGCCUAUUACACGGAAUGUCCCUGUCCGCAUUGACAUGUUGAAAGGGGUACCAUGGGAUGGACUUGCUGAAUUUAGCACCGAGGUGUCCAGUCUGAAGAACGAUAGCCAGUACCAUGUGACCAUUGCAGCCUAUGGGUGGGCAGGGGAGGGACGACCCAGUAUGCCUAGGGGCAUCACGCCAGCCUCGCAUGAGAGAUGCUUCAGACCAGCCCCCCCAUCAGCGCCGGAUGUGGUAGUAGGAUCUCAUACACAAAUUGUGGUGUCAUGGAAACCGGGUGCAUCAGAAGGAGCUUCGCCUGUUCAGCACUUCCUGGUUUCCUACACCAGACCAGAGGUGGACACGGAGUGGACAACUCUUCGCGUGCCCGUUCCGACCACCUCUAUGGUCCUGAGAGGACUGAGCCCAGACACACUGUACCAGUUCAUGGUCCAAGCAGUGAAUGCAAACGCCGCUAGUCCCCCAAGCUCUGUCAGUGGCAUCUGGACUCUCAGUAUUCAAGAUGCUGGCAGUGGAGCAAUCAGUACAAAGCGUCUCACGCGUCCCGUUACCAAUGACCAGGCUGCCGUCGUUGACUAUGACUACAGUGCCAACACUGAGGAGCUAUCUCCCAAGAAAGAGGUUCACAUGCCCUCCCAACCUGAAGCGCCAGCCUCUCAGAUUGGUGGUAACAUCUGGAGCUUUGCCCCCUUGGCUGCCGUCUCUGCCCCCUCUGAUGCCCCUUCUGGCGCCACCCUGGGUCCUCCUCUGCCCCCGGCCGCCCCCAUGACCCAGUGGCAGGGGGCGCUGAGGCGCCUGUACGACCUGCCCUGCGAGGACGCCGUGUGCCCCCCGCACACCAUCUGCGUGGACGACCAUACCAGCGGGGGCUCCCGAUGCCAGUGUGCCCUGGGCAGGCAAGGGCCAUCCUGCUCGGAGAUUGUGCUGAUGCAGUUCCCCAGGCUGUUUGGCUACUCCUACAUGGCCUUCGACCCCCUGAAGAAUUCCUUUCACUCCUUCCACAUCAGUCUGGAGUUUAAGGCAGACAGUGUAGAUGGCCUCCUGUUCUACUGUGGAGAGAAUGAACAUGGCUAUGGGGACUUCUCCUCUCUGGCUCUGAUCCGAGGGAAGCUGCACUUCAGGUAUAACUGUGGGACGGGGGCUGCUCAUCUGGUGAGCGAGAGGCCGGUGGUUCCUGGCCAGUGGCACAGCGUGAGCGUCCACCGGGAGGGCACGAGCGGCUGGCUCCGCCUGGAUAAUCACACGCCUGUCACCGGACACUCACAGGGAACAUACACCAAGAUCACCUUCCGCACGCCACUGUAUGUAGGCGGCUCUCCCAAUGGCUAUUGGCUGGCGAGGGCGGCUGGGACCAACCGAGGGUUCCAGGGUUGCCUGCAGAGCCUGUCGGUCAACGGAAAGCGGGUAGACAUGAGGCCCUGGCCGCUGGGGCGGGCACUCUCCGGGGCUGAUGUUGGCGAGUGCAGCGAGCAUGCCUGCUCCGGCGUGUCCUGUGCCAACGGGGGAACGUGCUUCAGCACUCGAGCAGAUGCCCACAUUUGCCUUUGCCCGCUGGGAUACGGAGGGGCACAGUGCCAGGAGAGCGUUUGGCUGGCCGUUCCACACUUCAACAAGUCACUGCUGUCGUACGCUAGCGCCCCCUGGCCUCAUCCCCAGCGCCACUACCUGUCCUUCACCGAGUUCGACAUCACCUUCCGGCCGGCGGCGGCCAACGGGACCCUGCUCUACUGUCAGGACGCCAACAGCAGUGACUUCCUGGCGGUCACCCUAGUGGGCGGUCAUGUGGAGUUCCUCUUCGACUGUGGCACAGGAGCUGCUGUUCUCAGGAGUGAGGAGGCGGUCAGCCUGUUCAGGUGGCACGAGGUGCGGGUAUCUCGCACGGCCAGGAAGGGCAUCUUGCAAGUGGACAGCCAGAAAGCAGUGGAGGGCCUGGCAGAGGGGGCAUUCACUCAGGUCCGCUGCAGCUCUCCUCUGUAUCUGGGUGGAGUCCCAGACUACGGUGCCACCCGGAGGGACUCUGGAGUACUGGAGCCUUUUACUGGGAGCAUACAGCAGGUCCUGCUGAAUGACCGGGUCAUCCCGCUCACAGCGUCCUCACUGGAGGGGGUGAACGUGGGGAAUGCGGAGCACCCCUGUGGCACGCGGCCAUGUGCCAACGCUGGACAGUGCCAGCCCAGAGAGGACCAGUACCAGUGCGACUGCCCGAUAGGCUUCCAUGGAAGCCAGUGCCAACAAGCGUGCGCCGACCUGUGCCGCCACAUAGUGACAGAAGACAUUGAGGUUCCUCUCUUCACUGGUAGAAGCUACCUCAAAUUUGACAGCAGAAAUAUUUUGAAACGGCUCUCUGGCUUGCGGACGCAUGUCCAGCUGCGCUUCAGAUGCUCUGCCCCCAACGGGCUGCUGCUGUGGAGAGGAGAGGGGCCUGGUCUCGCUGGAGCGGACUUCAUGUCUCUUGGCUUGCAGGGCGGAGCGAUCAUCUUCAGCUUUGAUCUUGGUAGUGGACUUGGUGUGGUGGUGGUCAAUGGAACUUUUAAUGAUGGUCAGUGGCACCAGUUGAAAGCCGUAAGAGAUGGGCAAUAUGGCCGGGUGGUUGUGGAUGGUCAGAGGACCAGCAGAGGACAGUCGCCAGGGAGAAUGAGGCAGCUCAACUCCAAUGGACCUCUGUAUAUAGGGGGUAUGAAGGAGAUCUCUCUGCACACUCACAGGCAGUACAUGAGAGGCCUGGUGGGCUGCAUCUCCCACCUCUCUCUCUCCCCCAGCUUCCAUAUCGCCUUGAUCGAUGAGGCCUCGGACGGCAAGAACAUUGAAACAUGCCUCGAGUGACCUUACGGACCCACCAGAGACCCCCUCUCAUGAGCCUCCUCCUCCUCUUCCUCCUCCUCUUCCUUCAACUACCUGGCUGAACUGGUCUUUUUUUCUUUUCUGAACUCGUAAUGGUGUGUGGCCCGUAGUGAUUGAGUUUGGUUAAGUAUGCAUCUUGCAGGACCCUCCCUACACCCAUCAAUAUAAGGUAGGGUUCUGACCACAUGCUGGAUCCAUUUGAUCCAUAAUAUAGACCCUUUCAAGAGAGUUCCAUUAUCAGCAUCAUAGUUGGCCCCACAAGGCUUCCGUUUUAACAUUCCAUGUUAUCUUAAUGCAGAGGAAGUAGAUUGGGAAACAAAUAGAACGUUAAAGCAUUAUUUUUCUUUUUAUUGUUGAAAGGGUCUAUAUUGUUUAUUUUUUGCUCCUUACAGACAACCACUGCCAGCCAUAGCCAGUACUACCGUACCCUUCAUAUGUUAUUUCAGUCGCUCUUAAAUGUCCCCUCCACUAUGCACCUGCCAAUUCAGUAAUCAAUUCAGUAAUCCCCACUUCCCAAACCAUACCAACAUUGACAGAGUCUGUCAGCCAACUCAAGGACAUGUGUCAUCCGUUAUAAAUGAGACUUCCACCUUUGGACCAGCAGGACGAACACAAACAGCAAGAUGCUGCAUUUCCCAAAGGACUUUUUUUAUUUAUUGCACUUCCGUAUGCCUUAGAAUGACCUUGAAAGUUGUUAGUUUUUCAUUUUGUAAAGAUAUUCUGCCAAAUGGACUGCUGGUGCUGAGGUGGCCUCCCAACACAAAGAAGAGGAGGAGGCGGAGGAGGAGGCGGAAGAGGAGGAGGAGGAGGGGGAGGAUGAGGAGGAGGAGG